GACGAACGCUGGCGGCGUGCUUAGCACAUGCAAGUCGAACGGUGAACUCCGCUUGCGGGGGGAUCAGUGGCGAACGGGUGAGUAACACGUGGGCAACCUGCCCUCAGCUCUGGGAUAACUCCAAGAAAUUGGGGCUAAUACCGGAUAUGACCGCUGACCGCAUGGUCUGGUGGUGGAAAGAUUUAUCGGCUGGGGAUGGGCCCGCGGCCUAUCAGCUUGUUGGCGGGGUAGUGGCCUACCAAGGCGACGACGGGUAGCCGGCCUGAGAGGGUGACCGGCCACACUGGGACUGAGACACGGCCCAGACUCCUACGGGAGGCAGCAGUGGGGAAUAUUGCGCAAUGGGCGAAAGCCUGACGCAGCGACGCCGCGUGGGGGAUGACGGCCUUCGGGUUGUAAACCUCUUUCAGCAGGGACGAAGCGAAAGUGACGGUACCUGCAGAAGAAGCACCGGCCAACUACGUG
rnacentral:rRNA from 1 species